UACGUAGGUGGCAAGCGUUGUCCGGAUUUACUGGGCGUAAAGGGCGCGUAGGCGGCCUGCUAAGUCGGACGUGAAAUCCCUCGGCUCAACCGAGGAACUGCGUCCGAUACUGGUGGGCUUGAAUCCGGGAGAGGGAUGUGGAAUUCCAGGUGUAGCGGUGAAAUGCGUAGAUAUCUGGAGGAACACCGGUGGCGAAGGCGGCAUCCUGGACCGGUAUUGACGCUGAGGCGCGAAAGCUAGGGGAGCAAACGGG
rnacentral:rRNA from 1 species